rnacentral:tRNA from 1 species
GGGGACUUAGCUCAGCUGGGAGAGCAUCCGCUUUGCAAGCGGGAGGUCAGGGGUUCGAAUCCCCUAGUCUCCA